UCCUAAACAAAUAACCAAGGAACUAAUUGAAGCAGUUUGCUUCUACCUGUGGCAUUUUGAAAUUUACCAUGUCUUUUUUUUCUUUUUAAUUGUAUUGGCACCAAAGAAAGGGGACGGGUGCCCUCAAAGGAGCAAUUCAGCAGAAUGAAUCUCUUGGGGUGACUGUAAUCAUAUUCUCUGCACCAGUGACAGCGUGUGCUUAGCGAGCUCUCCCCUGAUUUGGUUAUUGGACCAACCAGAAGAAGCUUGAGGGGAGACAACAGUUUUUUCCAUCCCCACAAAAAUGAGGGAGAGAAUGGAACAGGAGCAGGAGUUCCAGACACAAUAAUACGUCAAGAAGACAGAAAGAUGCAUCAAAUAAUCAAGAGAAUUUGGGCUCUGGCUGCAGACCCGGAGAUUGGUUUUGAUCAGAGACACCUGGUGGCUCUUGAGAUACACCACACUGCAAGGGCACUACUAGCCUUGCCCCAAGCACGCAACCAAUGGAUGUCAAGGAAGCCCAGCUUCUGCUAAGGAGAGUAUCCAGCGUCUCUUUUGCAGGGAGGGGGGCGGCCCAGAAGGGCACAAUGGAGCGGGGCUUUGUGGCCAGAGCCAAGUGGGCUUGAAUACC